UUACUGUUAACAAAUUCUUUUAUCUUGGGUUAACUCUUCCAUAGGGCAUGCAGAUGAUACAAUAGUGCCUGACCAUGAAAAAUAUCAAAGGGUGAAACUGUUCCAGUUUUCUAAACAGCUCCUAUGUUAAUGAAAUAACAUUUUUCAAUUAAAAACUUAAGAGCUAGAAUGUCCUAAUCAACACUUUAUAAAACACACUAAAUUGGUGCAAAAACAUGUGCCAGUGGCUGGGGGAGUAUAAGCAGUCAAGUGUGUUCUGCAGUUCCUCUAUUGCAGUCUUCCCGUGUGUAUCUGCACUUGACAUUGUUGGAGUCAGGAUGCUGGCGUAGGUAAUCUUAUAGCCUCCCCUAAUACAGUUACGUAUUAUUUCACCUUCAUCAUAUCAGAUGUAAGCUUCUCUAUGCAUUAAAAAGUAAAUCAGUAAUUUUGGAAGCUUCUGAAGUUAAUUGUAAAGUCUUUUUUUCUUUAGGUCUAUAUACAGCACUGGUCUUUUAAAGUCUUUAAAUCGACACUGAGAUGACAUCUGUCUUCUUGCUCUUUUAAUAAAGUGACUCUUGCACAUUUGUACAGUAAUUCCAUACAGUUUAUUGGGAUCAUGGGAAAGGAGAGCUGCAGUUAUAGAUGGUUCUGUUAGGAAUAGUAACAGAACAUAAAUAUUUGAGGGAUUACUCAGUAGUGGGCAAUGAAUGUUUUGUCCUUGUGAAAUGCCAGUCUCUAAUUAGCAGCAGGAGACAAGGCUUUAACUACAGGGUGGAUUUUCAGCAGUAGCUGCCAAGAUGCGAGAGAGGCUGUGGAAGCAGAUCAAGCUGUUAAAUACAUUACCAGGAUGAUAAGAAUUUCAAGUGAUAAGAAAAAGGUACAUUCCUUUUGAAUACCUUUGUGGGAAAAUAGUGCUGAAAUAAAUGUUAGAAAUAUCUCAGCUUGUCCACAUAAUGGCCUGUAGUCAGAUGUGACAUAACCAAUUGCCAGUCUUUUAAACUGGUCAAGGUUAAAAUAAAAGCUGUCUUGACAGGUCUUUUCAGGUGGAAUAGGAGAAGAAAAGGUGACUGUGAAGAACACCAAGAUCAAAAGGAAACUCAGUCCCCUCCUUUCUGAGCUGAUCUUUUCUUUUGCUGAAGAGUCCAGUGGUAAUCUCCCAAAAUAGGCAUGCUUCAGAAGGUAGCAAAGUUGUUCCCUCCUUUGAUAAAGUCAUCAUUCAUGUUUAGGCAGUACUUUUCCAGGCUGGGCUUGAUUUGGAAAAGGUGACAGUACAGACAAAUCAGAAUUCAAAAUUCCCUGCAUGAUAGCACACUUAUUCCUCAGUUUUGGCUCCACCAACAUCAUCUCCUGGCAAGUCUGCUAAAUGUCUAGCAGUCAUCAGGCAUGCCUUUUGGCAGAGUGCUCUGGUAAUAUCACAAUUUCCUUCCCCUAAACUAUCAGCUCUUUUUCAAGAUACUUGCUCUGUUCCCACAGUUCUCGCUUGGGUUUCUGUUUUCCAGACAUAGCCCUGACUUUGCAAUAGGAAGAGGUUUGGUUGGGUUUUUUUACAUACAGAAUUGAGUUCAGAUGUAUUCUCUAUCCAAGCUUUUGGUAUUUCAUGAGACUGCCUCAGAUCCACAGCCCACAUGCCUGGACCUAAAAUAUGUCAGAUUUUCCCCAGAUGUGUCCCUCUUUUGAGGGCUUUGGCCAUGAGCCUGAGGUUUCUGAAUAUGUAGUAAUCCCAGGCAAAUGGCAGCUGCAUGAGCACAUAUCAACUGCACAGUAUGUGAGCUGUUUCCCUGACACCCACAGCUAUGGCAGACCUGCUGUGUGGAUGAUCUGGUUGUGUGUGGUAAAUCCAACCUGCUGUUUGGGCAGGUCUCCUGUGCUGAAAUGGCUCUCAUGUCACUUGUGAACAUCCCUGGGGUUUUCUGGCAGGCAGGGAGCCCUGGAUGAGUCUACGAAUAUCCUACCUGAACACCAGAAGAUGGCAGUGGGGCCCCUGAGAGCACAAUCAGAGAACAAUAGCAGAGGUCCCUGAGACUAUGGGCAUAGGAGGGUACCAGGGUAAAAACACAAAUCGGGACUAGGCAAUUACUGGGCGCUAAAGGAAUGCACUUGAGGUCCAGGCAGAACCCCUUUUGGAGCAUAACUAGAUGUGAUCUUUUCUCUCCCUCUUAAUGCCCAGUUGGUUGAUCAAGCCAUAGGUGAAGUGAAGCAGUGGUGAUGCACUAGACUUGACUGUGGAAUGUGGAAAUAUUAGUGAGGAAUCAUCAUCAACAACUAAGUCAGAAUAUCAUGCAGAGGAGGAAAUGAUGAAUUGGAGGUGUGAAAUUAAAGACAUGGCAUGAAACCACCCACCACAGCACUUUGGUACCAAUGACAAGAAUAUCCUCUACAAACUGGAAGAUAAUUGCUGAAAACAAUGGAGGAGAAAAACCUGGGGUAAUACUAACUUCUGACUGACAGUGGGGAGUUGGUGAUGUUGAAUUUAGAAAGGCAAGCCUGAUCCUGAAAGGUGCCUUUCAUCCAGGUAAGGAAUCAUUGUACAGUCAUUGCCAUUGUGCAGGCACUGAUGAGAUCUCACCUGUAAUUCUUGCUGGAGGAGCUGGGAAAUGUAGUUCUACCUUGAAAAUGGG